rnacentral:rRNA from 1 species
GACAGAGGUGGCAAGCGUUGUUCGGAUUCAUUGGGUGUAAAGGGUCCGUAGGUGGCCCAGCAAGUUUGACGUGAAAUCCCAGAGCUCAACUCUGGAACUGCGUUGAAAACUACUGGGCUUGAGUGUCGGAGAGGUAAGGGGAAUUCCAGGUGUAAGGGUGAAAUCUGUAGAUAUCUGGAGGAACACCAGUGGCGAAGGCGCCUUACUGGCCGACAACUGACACUGAGGGACGAAAGCAAGGGGAGCAAACAGG